AAAGCAGGUCUGCAAUUGCAGCACUUAAUUUCCGUAGAGUGCUGUCAUUAAGCCUGCUGAGAGUAUCUUUCUGCUGCAGAGCUCUGACUCCAGCUCACUAUGGUGGUGAUGAGGAAGCUCUGUAGCUGAACAUUU
rnacentral:snoRNA from 1 species